rnacentral:lncRNA from 1 species
UGUGUGUGUGUGUGUGUGUGUGUGUGUGUGUGUUUGUGUGUGUGUAAUUCAAAAAAUUAAACCAACUAAAUAUAAAACUAAAAUAAGUGUGGUGAAACAGCUCGUGAAGCUAGCUGAGCUGUUUCCAGGCCUAGGACAGCAUAGCACAAAAAUACGGAAAGCAGUGCUCGGAAGAAUGAGAACAGGGAAUGAGGUAGUGAGUCGUUCUCUGUAAUUCUUCCUUGUCACCGGCUAGCUGCAUUGUAGCACUGACUGGGGAACAUGAUAAUAAGACAGGUUGAAAGAUUCUUUCAAAAUGACCAGAAUCUAUCUCCAUUACCAGGAAAACAAACCUAAGCACACAUCAUACUAAUGAGGAUCAAUAAGUCAUUUUCUAACAUAAAACAUAGUAUGAUGUAUGAUCAGAGAAGAAUGGCAUACAUGUAUUCUGAAUUAUUGAUAGAGUAAGCAAGGCACCGGAAGAAUUAAGAAAAUGUAUGUGUGCCUACCUAUGUAUAUGUGUAUAUACCUAUACAUACAUGUAUAUAUUUUUUUCUUUCUGGAUUUUUUUGAGACAGAUAAUGGAGCCAGGCUCACUUCUGUUCACCAUGUGAACUACUAUACUUAAUGGCUUUCUGAACUACCUUGGCAUAUCCUUGGAAUCCUGAGACCCAUUCGAUGGAUGCUGAUGCUGACCCAACAUUGCAGCCCUUUUCAGUGGUCUACAAAAUUAAGUGUCUAAUAGCCCAGUGGAGAGACUCUGACACCUGAGACCCCUGAUAUAAGAUCUUAACACAGGAAGUAUGGAGAAAACUCUGUGUAUCAGCCUUCUUCAGUUUAUAUAUGAGAAAUCAUGUUGGUGAGACUUUAUAGAUGUAGCUUCUGACAUCCCUAAGAGUCAGAAUGUCAGAGAGUUUGCUGUGAGAUUGUGUCUCUCAGAAAGGUGUUCUAUGAGGUUCCCCGAGGCAUUGUGGAGAUGUAUCUAUUGGGACCUGACUCCACAAUGUUGCAUUUUGAUUGGUGGUAAUUCUCAUAGGAUUCUUUUUUAAAAUAGAUUCUAUUUAUUUAUUUUAUGUAGGUGAGUAUGCUAUAGCUGUCUUCAGCCUUACCAGUGUAGGGGAUGGGAUUCCAUUACAGAUGGUUGUGAGCCACCAUGUGGUUGCAGGGAAUUGAACUCAGGACCCUUAAAAGAAAAGUCAGUGCUCUUAACUACUGAGUCAUCUCUCCAGCCUAGAAGAGUCUUAAUAAUAGUUUACUUCCUGUAUUUGUUUGUUGGUAAUGUCAGCUCUACGUUUAAAAUAUAUAAUAGUCUUCUAUGUCAGACAUAUGCUUUUCCCUAAUGAAACAGAAUAAUAUAUUAAGAGAAAAAAUAAUCUUAUUUUGUCACAUUUUGAAUUAAAAGAUCAAAAGAUCUAUUACUAUAACAUAUGAAACAUAUAUGUUACUAUAUAGAGAGAUUAUUACAUAAAAGUAUGUAUUAUAUCUACAUGGAAAUGGAUAUCAAUAUACACAAAUAAGGAAAUAUAUUAAUAUAUAUUCCCAUCCAUCUAUGUGAUAGAUUAUUAAUGUUCCUAUUGUGAGGUACUUGGGGAAUGAUUCAGAAGAGAACAAGAGAAAUGAUUUUCACAUAGAUAUUUUUCUCUAAAGGACAAUUUGAAAAUCAUUCAUGUCAUUCUGUUAACCCACUAAUUUGAGGAGAAAAGGAAUAAGACAUUUAGAAAGUUUCUAUAGUAUCUUAGUCCUUUUCCUCUCUGAGUGACAUUUUAAGGAUAAAGAGAAGAUCCUAGCGCAGGAGCAAAUAUAAAGGUUGAGGUUUCUGAGAGUUCUCAUUCAGCUUCAUGGAGAUAUCUAUUUCUACUUCUAAAACCUUACUGUCCCUAGGGCUUUAUAUACUUCGUGUGUUUUCUUUGAAUGGUGUGAUUCACUGGCAUUAUGCUGAUAUAUUAGCCACUUUAUAUAUCUUUACAGCAUGUGGGUGCUAAUAACAAACUUUUACUUUAUUCUAACAAUGCCAGUAAUAUUAAUGUUAAUAUGGUUCAUCAAAACCCUGUCUAUUUUUCUAUCUCCUUGCUUCAUAGGUUUUCCUUUUGUUUUAGUCACCUAUGUAAUAAACCAGAAGGACUACAGAAUUGGCUGUUUCCAUCUUUGGGCUGACACCCAGGCAUCCUGGAAGUGCAAUACAUAAUAAGAAAGAGAUUUUGUGGUUAAGUAUAGGUUUUUCUCUUCUAUAAUAUGUUGACAUAUCACUAUAAUUCCCACCGGCAUUUUCCCAUAAAUGCAACAACUACUAAGAUGAAGAGAAUAAUAAAAAUAUUUUGAACCCGGUGC